rnacentral:rRNA from 1 species
GUGCCUACAACCGGUCAAAGCCCCUUAUGAGGGUGAUGACGUGCUUUUUGUAGAACGAGCCAACGAGUUACGGUAUGUAGCAAGGUUAAGUACUUAAGGUACGGAGCCGAAGGGAAACCGAGUCUUAAUAGGGCGACUAGUUGCAUGCCGUAGACCCGAAACCGGGUGACCUAUCCAUGGCCAGGUUGAAGCGAGGGUAAAACCUCGUGGAGGACCGAACCACGUUGCUGUUGAAAAAGCAUGGGAUGAGCUGUGGAUAGCGGAGAAAUUCCAAUCGAACUCGGAGAUAGCUGGUUCUCCCCGAAAUAGCUUUAGGGCUAGCGUUAGUUUAGAUUACCGGAGGUAAAGCACUGAAUGGUUUAGGGGCUGAUAAAGUUACCGACGCCUAUCAAACUCUGAAUGCCGGAUAAUUGAUGACUAGCAGUCAGACAGUGUGAGAUAAGUUUCAUUGUCAAAAGGGAAACAGCCCAGACCUACAGCUAAGGUCCCAAAUGUAUGCUAAGUGGAAAACGAUGUGGAAUUGCGAAAACAACCAGGAUGUUGGCUUAGAAGCAGCCACACAUUAAAAGAGUGCGUAAUAGCUCACUGGUCGAGUGACUCUGCGCGGAAAAUGUAACGGGGCUAAGCAUGCAACCGAAGCUUAGGAUUGUCUAAAGACAGUGGUAGGGGAGCGUUCUGUAUGGGGUGAAGUCGCAGCGAGAGCAGCGGUGGACUGUACAGAAGUGAGAAUGCCGGAAUGAGUAGCGAGAAUUAUGUGGGAAUCAUAAUGGCCGAAAAUCUAAGGUUUCUUGGGGAAGGUUCGUCCGCCCAAGGUAAGUCGGGAGCUAAGCUCAGGCCGAGAGGCGUAGGCGAUGCACAUACGGUAGAAAUUCCGUAACCACCGAAACUUAAACAGAGGGACACUUCGAAAUAGCGGAACCCGGGCGUUGGUUGACCCGGGCGUAAGGGAGCGAAAUUAUAGUAGCGAAGUCCGCGAUGUUCGGAGGCGAGAAAAGCUCUGAGGUAUGCUAAGGUGCCCGUACCGCAAACCGACACAGGUAGAUGAGGAGAGAAUCCUAAGGCCAACGGGAGAAGGGUUGUUAAGGAACUCGGCAAGUUGACCCCGUAACUUCGGAAUAAGGGGAGCCUCGAAAGAGGCCGCAGUGAAUAGGCCCAAGCAACUGUUUACCAAAAACACAGGUUUAUGCUAAAUCGAAAGAUGACGUAUAUGAGCUGACGCCUGCCCGGUGCCGGAAGGUUAAGAGGAGAUGUCAGGCAACGAAGCAUUGAAUUGAAGCCCCGGUAAACGGCGGCCGUAACUAUAACGGUCCUAAGGUAGCGAAAUUCCUUGUCAGGUAAGUUCUGACCCGCACGAAUGGCGUAAUGAUUUGGGCACUGUCUCAACAGCCCGCCCGGCGAAAUUGUAGUACUGGUGAAGAUGCCAGUUACCCGCAACUAGACGGAAAGACCCCAUGGAGCUUUACUGCAGCUUAAUACUGGAAUUCGGUAAAUCAUGUACAGGAUAGGUGGGAGACAGGGAAGCAUUGGCGUCAGCCAGUGUGGAGUCGCUGGUGGGAUACCACUCUUGAUUUGCUGGGUUUCUAACCUGCGGCCGUGAAUCCGGUCGGGGGACACUGUUAGGCGGGCAGUUUGACUGGGGCGGUCGCCUCCAAAAGAGUAACGGAGGCGCUCAAAGGUUGGCUCAGCACGGACAGAAAUCGUGCAGUGAGUGUAAACGUAUAAGCCAGCCUAACUGCGAGACCGACGGGUCGAGCAGUAACGAAAGUUGGAGUUAGUGAUCCGGUGGUAUGUGAGUGGAAAUGCCAUCGCUCAACGGAU